rnacentral:rRNA from 1 species
UGUAGAGAAUCUGCCCUGUACUGGGGGACAACAGAGGGAAACUUCUGCUAAUACCCCAUAUGAGCGUACCUGCGAUGGUAUUCUUGAAAGUUCCGGCGGUACAGGAUGAGUCUGCAUCUGAUUAGCUAGUUGGUGGUGUAAUGGACUACCAAGGCGACGAUCAGUAGCUGGUUUGAGAGGAUGAUCAGCCACAAUGGGACUGAGACACGGCCCAUACUCCUACGGGAGGCAGCAG